rnacentral:rRNA from 1 species
CCUACGGGAGGCAGCAGUAGGGAAUCUUCCGCAAUGGGCGAAAGCCUGACGGAGCAACGCCGCGUGAGUGAUGAAGGUCUUCGGAUCGUAAAACUCUGUUAUCAGGGAAGAACAAAUGUGUAAGUAACUGUGCACAUCUUGACGGUACCUGAUCAGAAAGCCACGGCUAACUACGUGCCAGCAGCCGCRGUAAUA